AGCAUAUCAAUAAGCGGAGGAAAAGAAACCAACAGGGAUUGCCCCAGUAACGGCGAGUGAAGCGGCAACAGCUCAAAUUUGAAAUCUGGCCCCUCGGGCCCGAGUUGUUAUUUGUGGAGGAUGCUUUUGGUGAGGUGCCGCCCGAGUUCCCUGGAACGGGACGCCAUAGAGGGGGAGAGCCCCGUCUGGGUGGCCGCCGAGCCUCUGUGAAGCUCCUUCGACGAGUCGAGUAGGUUGGGAAUGCUGCUCUAAAUGGGAGGUAUAUGUCUUCUAAAGCUAAAUAUUGGCCAGAGACCGAUAGCGCACAAGUAGAGUGAUCGAAAGAUGAAAAGCACUUUGAAAAGAGGGUUAAAUAGUACGUGAAAUUGUUGAAAGGGAAGCGCUCAUGACCAGACUUGGGCUUGGCGAAUCAUCCGGCGUUCUCGCCGGUGCACUUUGCCUCGUCCAGGCCAGCAUCAGUUCGCCGCGGGGGACAAAGGCUUCGGGAACGUGGCUCCUCCGGGAGUGUUAUAGCCCGUUGCGUAAUACCCUGCGGUGGACUGAGGUCCGCGCAUCUGCAAGGAUGCUGGCGUAAUGGUCAUCAGCGACCCGUCUUGAAACACGGACCAAGGAGUCGUCUUCGUAUGCGAGUGUUCGGGUGUCAAACCCCUACGCGUAAUGAAAGUGAACGCAGGUGAGAGCUUCGGCGCAUCAUCGACCGAUCCUGAUGUUCUCGGAUGGAUUUGAGUAAGAGCAUACGGGGCCGGACCCGAAAGAAGGUGAACUAUGCCUGUAUAGGGUGAAGCCAGAGGAAACUCUGGUGGAGGCUCGCAGCGGUUCUGACGUGCAAAUCGAUCGUCAAAUAUGGGCAUGGGGGCGAAAGACUAAU
rnacentral:rRNA from 1 species